AUCCCAGUCCACAAAACCCCCUCUGAGACUGAAGAUGGACCAGGUUCCAGUCCGACCCUGGUUCCCUCCUGGUUAAGGAGGACUUUUCCAUCAGUUCUCGUCAAACGUCUACGUUUCAGACAUAAUUGAACCCGUCGUUUGUCUAAUUAUGAUCAACUUUUACAAAAAUACAAUUAAUUUUACAUCAAAUCUAUUUCUGUCGUGAACUUUUCUGUCCGUUAACAUUUUAUUUGUUUCUCUGCGGAAUCGGGACAAACAUCAACUAUUGACGACGACCGGACGACGAAUUAGCCAAUUUAAUGAAACCGAAGAAACGAACGACAUCUGCGAGAAAAACAGGGAUUUUCUAAAAACAGUGAAUUUAUAAAAGUCAGAAUUUCAGAAAACAUUCAGAUUUAAGGACGAGGUGAAAAAUCUGGUGUUUGUGUCC